rnacentral:rRNA from 1 species
GGAAUAUUGGGCAAUGGGCGCAAGCCUGACCCAGCGACGCCGCGUGAGGGAUGAAGGCCUUCGGGUUGUAAACCUCUUUCAGUAGGGAAGAAGCGAAAGUGACGGUACCUAAAGAAGAAGCACCGGCUAACUAUGUGCCAGCAGCCGCGGUAAUACAUAGGGUGCAAGCGUUGUCCGGAAUUAUUGGGCGUAAAGAGCUCGUAGGUCGUUUGCCGCGUCGAUUGUGAAAAUCUGAGGCUCAACCUCAGACCUGCAGUCGAUACGGGCAAACUAGAGUGUGGUAGGGGAGACUGGAAUUCCUGGUGUAGCGGUGGAAUGCGCAGAUAUCAGGAGGAACACCAAUGGCGAAGGCAGGUCUCUGGGCCAUAACUGACACUGAGGAGCGAAAGCGCGGGGAGCGAACAGGAUUAGAUACCCUGGUAGUCCGCGCCGUAAACGAUGGGCACUAGCUGUGAGAGCCUUCCGCGGUUCUCGCGACGCAGCAAACGCAUUAAGUGCCCCGCCUGGGGAGUACGAUCGCAAGAUUAAAACUCAAAGGAAUUGACGG